UCAAAGAUUAAGCCAUGCACGUCUCAGUGUAAGCAAUUUAAACUGUGAAACUGCGGAUGGCUCAUUAGCUCAGUUAUAAUUUAUUUGAUAAUGAUUUACUACUUGGAUAACUGUUGUAAUUCAAGAGCUAAUACAUGCGUAAAGGUCCAACUCGAGAGGGAAGGACUGUGUUUAUUAGAUCGAAAACCAGCGGGGUAAUGUGGUGGUUUCGGCCAUUUCAUGUUAUCCAUUAGUUGUUGGUGAAUCAUGAUAAAUGUCGAAUCGGGCACUAGUCCGAUGUGUCAUUCAAAUUUCUGCCCUAUCAACUGUUGAUGGUAGGAUAGGGGCCUACCAUGGUUUUGACGGGUAACGGAGAAUUAGGGUUCGAUUCCGGAGAGGGAGCCUGAGAGAUGGCUACCACUUCCAAGGAAGGCAGCAGGCGCGCAAAUUACCCAAUCCCAAUCAGCUUGGGGAGGUAGUGACAAAAAAUAAUAAUGCAGGGAUCAAUUGGUCUUAUGCAAUUGUAAUGGUCCAAAUGUAAAUUGUUUGGAGAGCAGCCAUUAGAGGGCAAGUCUGGUGCCAGCAGCCGCGGUAAUUCCAGCUCUAAUAGUGUAUAUUAAAAUUGCUGCAGUUAAAAAGCUCGUAGUUGGAUUUUGGAGAGGACAGUAUGCUUGCAGGUUUUUUGCUGCGCUUCUUUGUUCGUGAUGGUUGUCCUUCCAAAAGGCGCCGUUUGCGACGGUUGUGUGGCCCUGUAGGUUGUCUUUUCCGGUAUUUUUCGGAGCUACGUAUCCUCCUUUACUGGAUGGCUAUGUGGAUUCGGAGAGUUUACUUUGAAGAAAAUGUAGUGUUCAAAGCAGGCGUUUCGCAGCUGAGCACUUUAGCAUGGAAUAAUAAAAUAGGACAACUGUGUGCUUCUACCAGUUCUAGUCGGUGUACAUUUUUUUGCUUACGGCACCUCAAUCUCACGGUUGAGUGUUUUUGUUGUAGGCGGGUGUGCGUGCGGAUUGGUUCAACGGGGAAGUUCUACGUUAUUUGUAUCCGUUUUGUUGGUUCAUGGAGCAGUUGUAAUGAUUAAUAGGGACAGUUGGGGGCAUCUGUAUUGCAUUGUCAGAGGUGAAAUUCUUGGAUUUAUGCAAGACAAACUAGUGCGAAAGCAUUUGCCAAGGAUGUUUUCAUUAAUCAAGAACGAAAGUUAGGGGAUCGAAGGCGAUCAGAAACCGCCGUAGUCUUAACCAUAAACGAUACCAUCUUGGUUUUAAAGGGUUUUGCCUGAUUAUGGCCCCGUUAGCGCCAUUAGAGAAAUCAAAGUCUCUGGGUUCUGGGGGGAGUAUGGCUGCAAAGCUGAAACUUAAAGAAAUUGACGGAAGGGCACCACCAGGUGUGGAGCCUGCGGCUUAAUUUGACUCAACACGGGGAAACUUACCAGGUCCGGACACGAGAAGGAUUGACAGAUUGAUAGCUCUUUCUUGAUUUCGUGGGUGGUGGUGCAUGGUCGUUCUUAGUUGGUGGAGUGAUUUGUCUGGUUAAUUCCGAUAACGAACGAGACCUCAAUCUGCUAAAUAGGCGGACAACGGGCUUCCGCUCGAUGUCUAUUAGCCUUCUUAGAGAGACUACCAAGGUCGCACUUGGGGGAAGCAUGAGGCAAUAACAGGUCUGUGAUGCCCUUAGAUGUCCUGGGCCGCACGCGCGCUACACUGAUGCAGUCAACAAGUCUGUCCAAGCCCGAAAGGGCAAGGUAAUCUUUUCAAACUGCAUCGUGCUGGGGAUUGAUCUUUGUAAUUUUGGAUCAUGAACGAGGAAUACCUAGUAAGUGCAAUUCACCAGAUUGCGCUGAUUACGUCCCUGCCCUUUGUACACACCGCCCGUCGCUCCUACCGAUUGAAUGAUCAGACGAAAUGCUUGGAUUGUGCGUUUGUGGAUGCUUCUGUGUUUACGAAUGUGCGAGAAGAGUAGUAAAUCUUAUUAUUUAGA
rnacentral:rRNA from 1 species